rnacentral:lncRNA from 1 species
UGGCUUCCUUCUGGAAAUAAACCAAACUAGUCUAAGUCUGGUCCUAAUAAGGCCUUGAUUAGUUUCAAUUUUUUUUUUAGAAAAACGACACUGUAGCACUUUUGUUUUUAUUGGAUAAACAUUGUCCAAUCAUAAAGUACCUAGGCUUAAAAGAUUUGUCUCGCGAUUUACAGACAAACUGUGUAAUUAGUUUUUAUUUCUAUCUAUAUUUAAUGCUCUAUGCAUGUGCCGCAAGAUUCGAUGUGACGGGGAAUUUUGAAAAGUUUUGAGUUUUUGGGGUGAAUUAAACAAGGCUUAGAAAGCACAUGCAUGAAGCAUUAGAUAUAGACGAAAAUAAAAACUAAUUGCACAGUUUGCCUGUAAAUCACGAGAUGAAUCUUUUGAGCCUAGUUAGUCCAUGAUCAGAUAAUAUUUGUCAAAUAAAAACGAAAAUACUACAGUACCGAAAUUUAAAUUUUUUUUGGGAACUGAACAAGACCUAAGCUAAAAUAGAUUUUUUUUUGUUGCAUACUUUAUUUAGGCCUUGUUUAGAUCCAAUUUUUUUUAGAUUUUGACACUGUAUUACUUUUAUUUUUUAUUUAAUAAACAUUGUUCAAUCAUAGAGUAACUAGACUUAAAAGAUUUGUUUGUUUUCAUCUAUAUUUAAUACUCUAUACACGUGUCGUAAGAUUCAAUAUGACAGAAAAUUUUGAGAAGUUUUUUAUUUUUAGGUGAACUAAACAAGGCCUUAGCUAACAACUAGUGUAUUUGGUUGGUUGGUUUGACUUGGAUAGAGUCACCUUUCUUCACCACCUUUGAGACAAUUCGUCAAACACGUGAACUUCACCACCAGGCGUUUCCACCGCCGCUCCUGCUUGUGCGGUGCCCAUGACGCGGAGGAGCACGCCGCCGACGCCGACAAGGAGGAACUCGCCUUGGCCAGCCUGCUCGCCUGCCCCCUCUUCCUCUGCUUCUCGCCAUUGGCCUCUUCCUCUGCUUCUCGCCAUUGGCGCUGCUCCUCUCCCCCACAUCCAUGCCGACCUCAGGCCUGUCCCUCUGCCGCUCCCGCCCCUGGCCCUGGGCGCGCGAGACGAGAUCCUCCGGCAUCUCCCGCUUGUUGCCGCGCAGGACUGCUGCGCAGGACGACGUAGGUUUAGGCCUCACCUUGAAAACCAAAAUUUUUUAAGAGAUCUUAUGGCACAUACAUGAAAUAUUAAAUAUAGACGAAAACAAAAACUAAUUACACAGUUUACCUGUAAAUCACGAGAUGAAUAUUUUGAUCCAUGAUUAAAUAAUAUUUGUUAUAAAUAAACGAAAGUGCUACAGUAUCGAAAAUUUUUCACUUUUGUGAACUAAACAGGCCUUAGUGGCUUCGGCUGCCUCCUCCGUCGCGUGACGAGGACGUGACCCGGGCCACGAGGGCGGCACGCCUUGGUCUUCCUGUAGGUCUCCUCAAACAGCUUGCGUAACUAGGAACCAAACAGAAACAGGCUCUUUGUUGUCUUGUGCUGCCUACCUUCUUCCACUGUGAACGGCAGG